UUGAUCUGAUCUUCCAUCCUUGAUCCAGCCUGUGUUACUAUUGCUUCAAUCAGUGCUAGUGAUUCUUGAAAUAACGCCCUCAAUUCUUCCCUCGGAUUUGUAUUGUCCAUGACAGCCGGUUUUGAUAUCAAGUUGUUAUGAUCUCUCACCUGGAAUCAAGUCACGAGCCUAUUCUUUUCUCGACCUAUUAUUGUUGAAAACGUGAGCAAGUUAAAAGGGAGCUCUAACCUUAGAUUUGUUGGAGAAGAGAGAG
rnacentral:misc_RNA from 1 species